rnacentral:rRNA from 1 species
AGAUCAGCCGCCGCGGUAAUACGUAGGGUCCAAGCGUUAAUCGUGCCCCAACUAAGGUAAAGCGUGCGCAGGCGGUUGUGCAAGACCGAUGCGUAAUCCCCGAGCUUAACUUGGGAAUUGCAUUGGUGACUGCACGGCUAGAGUGUGUCAGAGGGGGGUAGAAUUCCACGUGUAGCAGUGAAAUGCGUAGAGAUGUGGAGGAAUACCGAUGGCGAAGGCAGCCCCCUGGGAUAACACUGACGCUCAUGCACGAAAGCGUGGGGAGCAAACAGGAUUAGAUACCCUGGUAGUCCACGCCCUAAACGAUGUCAACUAGUUGUUGGGGAUUCAUUUCCUUAGUAACGUAGCUAACGCGUGAAGUUG